rnacentral:rRNA from 1 species
AUUCCUACGGGAGGCAGCAGUGAGGAAUAUUGGUCAAUGGACGGAAGUCUGAACCAGCCAUGCCGCGUGCAGGAUGACGGCUCUAUGAGUUGUAAACUGCUUUUGUAUGAGAAUAAUAGUUCUUACGUGUAGGGAUUUGAAUGUAUCGUACGAAUAAGGAUCGGCUAACUCCGUGCCAGCAGCCGCGGUAAUACGGAGGAUGCGAGCGUUAUCCGGAUUUAUUGGGUUUAAAGGGUGCGUAGGCGGGCUUUUAAGUCAGCGGUAAAAAUUCGGGGCUCAACCCCGUCCGGCCGUUGAAACUGGGG